AAUGACUGACAUUGCUUGCUGCUCCAGACUCCUCCAGAUCUGGGGACUAGAGGUUUGCCCCACUGCUCCCUCUGCUCUGCCCACAGCACUUGGGACUAGAUUGGAGAAGCAGCUUAUCUUUGCUCCCUACCCACUGCCCAGACUGGGGGUCCUGUGUUGAGGAGUGGGUGGGUGGGUUUUCCCCACUGCUCCCCAGACUGUCAGCAGGGAAGUACAUAUGCUGUUGGAAAGAUGUGGGCACAGAGGAGUGGGCUCAGGGAGGCUCUCCAGAAACCUGGUUCCUGGCAUCCCCCACCUUUGAAAUCAUUGCCCAUACUGCCCAUUUGGGGCCAGGAACCAGGGCCGGGGAAGCUCUUCCCACUGAACUUCCAAGCGUACAGGUUUUAAAUGCCACCCACAAUGUCCAGCUGGGUGGCACAUGUAGGGAUUUAAAAGCCCGUGGGGUCUAGAACCAGUGCCAGGGAAAUUUUUCCCACUUCAGUUCCCAGCCCCUUGGAGUUUAAAUGCUGCCCGUACCACCCAAUUUGGCAGCACAUGUGGGGAUUUAAAAGUUGGGGAGCUGGGACUUGGGCACAAGAAGCCUUUCCUUUGCCCCAUUUCCCCACAUCUCCAGCUUAAAAUUACCUUGUGUGCAGCUGAUCUGGCUCCAUGUAUAGCAAUUUAAAAGCCAAAAGGCUUCCUUUUGACAGCCUGCUCCCUUCCUGGGCAGGGGAGAGGAUAGACUGUCAAGUAAUAGGUCCUCCUAAGGGUGAGGAUGGCCCAGGGAACAGCCCUCUAGUGCUCCCUGGCUAGAGCGCUCGCCUGUGUAGGGGUUGGAAUGCAUGUAUGCUCCAGUCCUGAGGCUAUUUUUCUAAUGGGGAGAAAUCUGGUAGACAUUAAAGAAUCAGUGAGAUUGUUGCCAGUAGAAAUGUCUGCCUCUUUUUGCCUAGUGACAACUCAUUGUCACUGCAGUCUUAUGUCCGUGACACUAUAUGGUUGUAUCAUUUAUUUGUGUUACAGAACACAAUGAGGAAAUACAUAAACUUUAUAGGAAUUAAUUUACAUUGCAAGCCUUUUGAAGGAAAUGGUGUUCUUUUCUCUUCCUGCUGACAAUAUAAUAUUUUUUGUACAUCUUUCUCAAAGCCAAACUCCAAUUUGUAUUUCCCAAAGAGGAGUUAAGGUAGAAAUGUUCUUUGUUUUUCUGUUCCUCCACGUUGCUAGAUUGACAUUCAUGAAGACCAGAGCCCUCCACAGAACAGCUACAUACCGAGCAAAAGCAAAUGAGGCUUUGCUAGUCCCAAGCCAGAUUUUCCAAAAGAACAUGAAGUAAGAUUUUAGUUGUGGACUUAUAAGUAAUAGUGGAUGAGAAGGGCUAUGUCUAAAAGACUUGGAAGAAAAAUGCUUCUCAGCUUGGAGCACAACACGAUACAAAGAUCUCCAAGAGAGGAACAAAGAAAAAUAAUAAGCAUUGUGAAGAAAUCAAAGAUCAAGGGUGUCAGAGCAGAGCUUAGUGGUUGAGUGCCUUGGCACAGUGGAACUUUCUAGCACAAGGCAUGGUGAGAUUUUGUACGAGGGAAUUUCUCGGCACGGUGGAGAACCCCGGCAUGGAAAGGUUCCCGCCACUUAUAUGCAAAUUUACACAUUACUAUUGGCUGGUUCUAAAUUAUUCCUAUGUGGCGACUAGCAAUUGACUCGCUAGCUGUAUAAAAGGUUGGAGCAGUUUCUGCCCAAGUUGGAGAACUCCGCGCCCAUCUCGGAGUGAACGUGGCGGACUGAUCAACCACUGACGACUCCCUGUCGCCGACCACCCCAACGUACCCCCGUGUCCUGCACGCUCGUGUUAAAGAUAUCUUGUCUCCUCAGUUAAACUGUAACUGAAGUUUGAAGUUAACUUUCUUCCUACGCUGUACAUCUCAACAGUGUAAGUAAAGCCAUCUUUGUUUGAACCAGUACGUGUUUGUGCCUAAUUCUACUCCAGCGGUUGAAAGUACCCAUCUGUACGUUCUGGGUUUGUGGCCACAACCCAGCCGA